rnacentral:rRNA from 1 species
GAGUUUGAUCCUGGCUCAGAGUGAACGCUGGCGGCAGGCCUAACACAUGCAAGUCGAACGGCAGCGCAGCAGUAGCAAUACUGUGGGCGGCGAGUGGCGGACGGGUGAGGAAUACAUCGGAAUCUACCUUGUCGUGGGGGAUAACGUAGGGAAACUUACGCUAAUACCGCAUACGACCUACGGGUGAAAGCGGCGGACCGCAAGGCGUCGCGCGAUUGGAUGAGCCGAUGUCCGAUUAGCUAGUUGGCGGGGUAAAGGCCCACCAAGGCGACGAUCGGUAGCUGGUCUGAGAGGAUGAUCAGCCACACUGGAACUGAGACACGGUCCAGACUCCUACGGGAGGCAGCAGUGGGGAAUAUUGGACAAUGGGCGCAAGCCUGAUCCAGCCAUGCCGCGUGUGUGAAGAAGGCC